GGAGGAGGGACCGACGGAGCGCGGAUCCCGCUCUCGGAUCGCAAACUUCGAGCCAGAGCUCUCCGCGCGCUCCUGAACCGCUGGCCGCCCCCACAGCCCGACGCGGAAUCGGGGCACAGCGGGAGCCCGUACAGGGCGGGCGCGGGACGGCGGGGCGGCGGGGCGGCGGGGCGGCGGGGCGGCGGGGCGGCGGCGGCCGUCCAUGCGGCGGCGCUCUGGGCUGCCCGGCGCCGGGAACCACACGGGGGCGAGGCGAGGCGAGGCGGCCGCCGGUCGCUCCGGGACGCGGACCGCCAGGACUUGAACGCCACUCCCAAUUGCAGAAAAUUGGCAGCGUCUCUGAAGAGCCCUUGCUUUUGCCUGAACCCUCAGCAUCAUGGUUUCCCAUUUCAUGGGGUCUCUCAGUGUCCUGGGUUCCCUCCUGCUGCUUGGAUUCCAGUUCGUGUGCCCACAGUCCUCCACUCAACACAGGAAGGUAAGCCAUGGCCGUCCAGAGGUUUUCUUCUCUGCCCAAGAGGCUAGGGUCACUCUGGUCACUGCCCUGAACUUUGUUCUAUUUGAAGGUGAGUCACCACUGAUCCUGAAAGGAAGCACAAUUUACAGAAUGUGGAGUGUACUAUUCUGUUCUCGCAUUGCUAUAAAGAAAUACCUGAGAGUGGGAAAUGUACAAAGAGGUUUUAUUGGCCCAUGGUUCCGCAGGCUGUACAGGAAGCAUGAUGCUGGCCAUCUGCGUGGCUUCUGUGGAGGCCUCAGGAAGCUUACAAUUAUGGUGGAAGACAAAGUGGGAACAGCACUUCACAUGGCUGGAGAAGAAGCAAGAGAGAGAACGGGGAGGUGCCAUACACUUUUAAACAACCAGAUCUCACGAGAACUCAUUAUUACCAUGACUGCACCAAGGGGGAUAGUGCUAAACCAUGAGGAACCAUCCCUAUGA
rnacentral:lncRNA from 10 species